rnacentral:tRNA from 1 species
UGGGGUGUAGCUCAGUGGAGGAGCACUUGCCUAGUAUGUGUGAGGCACUGGGUUCGAUAUUCAGCACCACAU